GUGUCAGCAGCCGCGGUAACACGGGGGGAGCAAACGUUGUUCGGAAUCACUGGGCGUAAAGGGCGCGUAGGCGGCUUCGUAAGUGGUGUGUGAAAUGUCCUGGCUCAACCAGGGAAUUGCGCUCCAAACUGCGAGGCUUGAGGGCAGUAGAGGAAGCUGGAAUUCCAGGUGUAGCGGUGAAAUGCGUAGAUAUCUGGAGGAACACCGUUGGCGAAGGCGAGCUUCUGGGCUGUCCCUGACGCUGAAGUGCGAAAGCUGGGGGAGCAAACAGGAUUAGAUACCCUGGUAGUCCCAGCUGUAAACGGUGAACACUAGGUGUGGGAGGUGUCGACCCUUCCCGUGCCGCAGCUAACGCAUUAAGUGUUCCGCCUGGGGAGUACGGUCGCAAGGCUGAA
rnacentral:rRNA from 1 species